GCAGGCGGCAGCAGGCUCAUGAUGUAACCACCCCUCAGGAUCACCCCCGCUCGCCGCCAUUACAAGUAACAAUAACAGCAACAAGUGACAAGUGACAAGUGACAUGUCUUGUACCGCAACAUCCCUCCCACACUUGUGACUGGCUGUGGCCGCCAACAAACACUUUGUUGUCUUGACGGAUUUUUUCUUUGUUCAGUUCUCCCUCCACCCUGGUGAGAAAUUCUGUUCCUUCAGAGGAUCUGUUAUUUGUCAUCCUUCUAUUGUUCUCCAUGUAAGGACUUUUAUCACCUUUUGUCGAUGAUGUGACCAUAUUUGGCAAAUCGUUGACUUGAGUGUCAUUUCAAAAUUUAUCAAAAGUAGACAAUUCGGCAAAAUGUGUGCGGUUGAAACUACUUUUCAGGGAAGCGUUUACCUUCUACCUCGGCGUGAAAAUGUCUCUCACCUGUAAUCACCAGAGCAGGUGGUCCACUGGCUCCAAGCCAAUGCAUCGACAGACUUCAGAGACCGAGUGCCAAGGAGCCAGCUAAGGCGAUCAUCUCAUUUUCUCAGAAGUUUCUGUCUAAAGCCUGACUGGGUAGCAACAUCAGGUGUCCACAGAUGAUCAGACAGGAAACUAAACUUCAGGUGUCUCGAUCACAGAAAAACAAUCAAAGGCAACUGAUCAUACAAGAUCAUUGAGGACACAAAAGAAGGGGCCUGCUAACGGGACCUGCUCCUCUGAGAGUUCAAUACAGGGAACCGAGGGUCGAAGAUAUGUCUUUGAUAGACGGCAGGUCAGGUGAGGAAAGGAGGUUCUACCCUCUCCCCCCGUCUUUGUACCUCGUCUGAACAUUCAGGUAGCUACAUGCUGGGGGUUGUGUUCACAGGUGAGGCGUUGAGUCGACUCACACCAGG